CUUAGUACGAGAGGACCGGAAUGAACAUACCUCUGGUGUUUCGGUUGUUCCGCCAGGAGCAUAGCCGAGUAGCCAAGUAUGGAUGAGAUAAACACUGAAAGCAUAUAAGUGUGAAACUCGCCUCAAGAUAAGGUUUCCCUGAAGGGCACUUGUAGACUACGAGUUUGAUAGGUUGGAAGUGGAAGUACAGUAAUGUAUGUAGCUAACCAAUACUAAUCGCCCGAUCGGCUUGGUCAC
rnacentral:rRNA from 1 species